rnacentral:rRNA from 1 species
UACGUAGGGUGCAAGCGUUAAUCGGAAUUACUGGGCGUAAAGCGUACGCAGGCGGCUAUGUAAGACAGGUGUGAAAUCCCCGGGCCUAACCUGGGAACUGCAUUUGUGACUGCAUAGCUAGAGUCCGUCAGAGGGGGGUGGAAUUCCACGUGUAGCAGUGAAAUGCGUAGAGAUGCGGAGGAACACCGAUGGCGAAGGCAGCCCCCUGGGCCAACACUGACGCUCAGGCACGAAAGCGUGGGGAGCAAACAGG